AACCGCCUGACAUUCACUCCCGACACAACAACGAAGACACAAACAUGGAGAUCCAGCAUGAAAACUGACGACGGGGGGAGAAAAAUGGCACCAAUCUUUAUCUACCGGAAGAUGAAGCGCCGUCCCAGCGACCGAAGCCUGUCAGCGACCGAAACGAAGGUGUUGGUGGGGGAGUUUCAGAAUACGUGAGGAGGAACUAGUCCCAGGAAACAUGGCUGCGACUGAGAGGAGCGGCUCCGAGGAGCUGGCCCGGCUCGGCGGGGGGAAGACGGCGCUGCUGCCGUGGACCAGGCAGAUGCUGACGGGGCUGUGGGAGCAUCUGCGGCUGCUGCUGCAGGUCAUCUACUACAGCUGCAUGGCAGUGUUCCAGAUGUUCCGGUUCGAGGUGCACGUGAGGAUCACGGAGGAGGGGGCGGAGCUGCGCGACGCCGGCUCCCCCGAGUCCUUCCUGUUCUCCUCGGUGGUGGGCGGGGCGGCGCCGCUGGCCGGGAAGGCCCCGGACUUCCUGGGCCCGCCGGCGGGCUGGGCCGUGGACUGGAACCUGUUCGUCUCCGGGGACGGGAAGAGCGGCGAGGAUGAGGACCGCAGCUCGCCCUGGAGCAGCGAGGAGGAGCCGGGCGGCGCCGGGCCGGACGAGGACGGCCAGGCGCUGUGGGAGUCCCUGUCCCGCUCCAGCGACCCGUACAACCCCUUCUUCUUCUCCGCCUGCCUCUCCAGCGCCGCCGCCCCGGAGCCGGAGCCGGACCUCAACAUCUGGGUCUGCCGCUCGGACAGCGAGAGCAGCUGGAGCAGCUGGUCCGGCUCGGACGGGUCGGGCCCCGACGUGGACAAGGACGAGAGCGACCGGCUCUGGGAGCUGCUCAGCGGCGCCGGCGACCCGUACAACCCGCUGUGCUUCAGCGCCGCCGGGGCCCCGCGCGCCGACCCGGCGGACCAGGAGGACCAGGACCAGGAGGAGGAGGACCAGCUCUGGGAGUCUCUGGGCCGGAGGGACGACCCGUACCACCCUCUCAACUUCCAGGGCUCCCCGCCGGCACCGGCCCGUCGCCACGACGACCACGGCAGCAGCGCCGCAGAACCGACCAGAGACGACAAGAACACGAGAAGAACCCGACCCGUUCUGCCAGAGAGGAGGCCAAAGCCGCACUCGCACCCGGAGAAGGUUCUGGUUCCCUGGAAGAGGCCGGGGCCGGCCGCCCAGACACCCCCGGACCAGAACCAGAGCAGAGCUGCACAGAAACAGGUCCGGUUCUCCCCGACCGUCCAGGUCCACCACAUGAGGACGUGGGCCUUCGCCCGGCAGGCGUCCCGCCACGGGCCCUGGGAGGAGCUGGCCCGGGACCGGGACCGCUUCCGGAGGAGGAUCCAGGAGGCGGAGCGGACCAUCGGCUACUGCCUAAGCCCCGCCCACCGGGCCACGGUGGUGGGCGGGGCUACUGCCUAAGCCCCGCCCACCGGGCCACGGUGGUGGGCGGGGCUACGGCCUAAGCCCCGCCCACCGGGCCACGGUGGUGGGCGGGGCUUCGGGCCCCCGGACUCUGAUUGGACCUUGAUGUUCUGGUGUCCGACAACUUUGUACCUCGGAGUUUCUGCACUGAUGGACACUUUCCUCUGUAAACCUCAUCGAUGUUGGAAUGUUGUUUUUACGCCUUAGAGACCUGGAAAUGUACCUUAUUUAUGUGUGUGUGUGUGUGUGUGUGAGAGUGUGUGAGUGUGUGAGAGAGUGUGUGUGUGUGUGUGUGAGUGUGUGACGCGAGGCAGCAGAUCUUUACAGUGUAAAGUGUUUGACAGAAGCAAAGCAUGAUGGGAACUCGUCCCGCUCCGGUCCAGUUCUUGCCGUACCGUUCUAAGUUUUGGUCGUGUGUUUUUAUGAUGUCAGACUUUGUAGUGACGUGAAACAGGUAGCAACACUGUCGGUGCUCUGUGUUUAAAUAAAGUUUGUUAAUGUA